rnacentral:rRNA from 1 species
UACGUAGGUCCCGAGCGUUGUCCGGAUUUAUUGGGCGUAAAGCGAGCGCAGGUGGUUUAUUAAGUCUGGUGUAAAAGGCAGUGGCUCAACCAUUGUGUGCAUUGGAAACUGUUAGACUUGAGUGCAGUAGAGGAGAGUGGAAUUCCAUGUGUAGCGGUGAAAUGCGUAGAUAUCGGGAGGAACACCAGUGGCGAAGGCGGCCUUCUGGCCUUAACCUGACGCUGAGGAGCGAAAGCUAGGGGAGCAAACAGG